rnacentral:rRNA from 1 species
CCUACGGGAGGCAGCAGUGGGGGAUAUUGCACAAUGGGGGAAACCCUGAUGCAGCGACGCCGCGUGAGUGAAGAAGUAUUUCGGUAUGUAAAGCUCUAUCAGCAGGGAAGAAAAUGACAGUACCUGACCAAGAAGCCCCGGCUAACUACGUGCCAGCAGCCGCGGUAAUACGUAGGGGGCAAGCGUUAUCCGGAUUUACUGGGUGUAAAGGGAGCGUAGACGGUCUGACAAGUCAGAUGUGAAAUCCGGGGGCUCAACCCCCGAACUGCAUUUGAAACUGUUGGUCUUGAGUAUCGGAGAGGCAGGCGGAAGUCCUAGUGUAGCGGUGAAAUGCGUAGAUAUUAGGAGGAACACCAGUGGCGAAGGCGGAUUGCUGGACAGUAACUGACGCUGAGGCGCGAAAGCGUGGGGAGCAAACAGGAUUAGAUACCCUUGUAGUC